CCUACGGGAGGCAGCAGUCGAGAAUCAUUCACAAUGGGGGAAACCCUGAUGGUGCGACGCCGCGUGGGGGAAUGAAGGUCUUCGGAUUUUAAACCCCUGUCAUGUGGGAGCAAAUUAAAAAGAUAGUACCACAAGAGGAAGAGACGGCUAAAUCUGUGCCAGCAGCCGAGGUAAUACAGAGGUCUCAAGCGCUGUUCGGAAUCACUGGGCGUAAAGCGGGCGUAGACUGUUUCGUAAGUCGUGUGUGAAAGGCGCGGGCUCAACCCGCGGACGGCACAUGAUACUGCGAGACUAGAGUAAUGGAGGGGGAACCGGAAUUCUCGGUGUAGCAGUGAAAUGCGUAGAUAUAGAGAGGAACACUCGUGGCGAAGGCGGGUUCCUGGACAUUAACUGACGCUGAGGCACGAAGGCCAGGGGAGCGAAAGGGAUUAGAUACCCUAGUAGUC
rnacentral:rRNA from 1 species